rnacentral:rRNA from 1 species
CAGCCGCCGCGGUAAUACCGGCGGCCCGAGUGGCGGUCACUAUUAUUGGGCUUAAAGCGUCCGUAGCCGGGUUGGGAAGUCCUCCGGGAAAUCUGGCCGCUUAACGGUCAGAAUGCCGGAGGAUACUCCCAGCCUAGGGAGCGGGAGAGGCCGAGGGGAUUCCCGGAGUAGGGGUGAAAUCCUAUAAUCCCGGGAGGACCACCGGUGGCGAGGGCGCUCGGCUGGAACGCGUCCGACGGUGAGGGACGAAGGCCAGGGGAGCAAACCGGAUUAGAUACCCGGGUAGUCCUGGCGGUAAACGAUGCGGACUUUGUGUCGGACAAGCUAUGAGCUUGUCCGGUGCCGGAGGGAAACCGUUAAGUCCGCCGCCUGGGGAGUACGGCCGCAAGGCUGAAACUUAAAGGAAUUGGCGGG